rnacentral:rRNA from 3 species
UGCUGGAGGUAUCAGAAGUGCGAAUGCUGACAUAAGUAACGAUAAAGCGGGUGAAAAGCCCGCUCGCCGGAAGACCAAGGGUUCCUGUCCAACGUUAAUCGGGGCAGGGUGAGUCGACCCCUAAGGCGAGGCCGAAAGGCGUAGUCGAUGGGAAACGGGUUAAUAUUCCCGUACUUGGUGUUACUGCGAAGGGGGGACGGAGAAGGCUAUGUUGGCCGGGCGACGGUUGUCCCGGUUUAAGCGUGUAGGUGUGUGUUCCAGGUAAAUCCGGUUCACUUUAACACUGAGGCGUGAUGACGAGGCACUACGGUGCUGAAGUAACAAAUGCCCUGCUUCCAGGAAAAGCCUCUAAGCAUCAGGUAACAUCAAAUCGUACCCCAAACCGACACAGGUGGUCAGGUAGAGAAUACCAAGGCGCUUGAGAGAACUCGGGUGAAGGAACUAGGCAAAAUGGUGCCGUAACUUCGGGAGAAGGCACGCUGACACGUAGGUGAAGUGAUUUACUCACGGAGCUGAAGUCAGUCGAAGAUACCAGCUGGCUGCAACUGUUUAUUAAAAACACAGCACUGUGCAAACACGAAAGUGGACGUAUACGGUGUGACGCCUGCCCGGUGCCGGAAGGUUAAUUGAUGGGGUCAGCGCAAGCGAAGCUCCUGAUCGAAGCCCCGGUAAACGGCGGCCGUAACUAUAACGGUCCUAAGGUAGCGAAAUUCCUUGUCGGGUAAGUUCCGACCUGCACGAAUGGCGUAAUGAUGGCCAGGCUGUCUCCACCCGAGACUCAGUGAAAUUGAACUCGCUGUGAAGAUGCAGUGUACCCGCGGCAAGACGGAAAGACCCCGUGAACCUUUACUAUAGCUUGACACUGAACAUUGAGCCUUGAUGUGUAGGAUAGGUGGGAGGCUUUGAAGUGUGGACGCCAGUCUGCAUGGAGCCGACCUUGAAAUACCACCCUUUAAUGUUUGAUGUUCUAACGUGGACCCGUUACCCGGGUUGCGGACAGUGUCUGGUGGGUAGUUUGACUGGGGCGGUCUCCUCCUAAAGAGUAACGGAGGAGCACGAAGGUUGGCUAAUCCUGGUCGGACAUCAGGAGGUUAGUGCAAUGGCAUAAGCCAGCUUGACUGCGAGCGUGACGGCGCGAGCAGGUGCGAAAGCAGGUCAUAGUGAUCCGGUGGUUCUGAAUGGAAGGGCCAUCGCUCAACGGAUAAAAGGUACUCCGGGGAUAACAGGCUGAUACCGCCCAAGAGUUCAUAUCGACGGCGGUGUUUGGCACCUCGAUGUCGGCUCAUCACAUCCUGGGGCUGAAGUAGGUCCCAAGGGUAUGGCUGUUCGCCAUUUAAAGUGGUACGCGAGCUGGGUUUAGAACGUCGUGAGACAGUUCGGUCCCUAUCUGCCGUGGGCGCUGGAGAACUGAGGGGGGCUGCUCCUAGUACGAGAGGACCGGAGUGGACGCAUCACUGGUGUUCGGGUUGUCAUGCCAAUGGCACUGCCCGGUAGCUAAAUGCGGAAGAGAUAAGUGCUGAAAGCAUCUAAGCACGAAACUUGCCCCGAGAUGAGUUCUCCCUGAGACUUUAGGUCUCCUGAAGGAACGUUGAAGACGACGACGUUGAUAGGCCGGGUGUGUAAGCGCAGCGAUGCGUUGAGCUAACCGGUACUAAUGAACCGUGAGGCUUAACCUUACAACGCCGAAG